AUUGAACGCUGGCGGCAGGCCUAACACAUGCAAGUCGAGCGGAUGACGGGAGCUUGCUCCCGGAUUCAGCGGCGGACGGGUGAGUAAUGCCUAGGAAUCUGCCUGGUAGUGGGGGACAACGUUUCGAAAGGAACGCUAAUACCGCAUACGUCCUACGGGAGAAAGCAGGGGACCUUCGGGCCUUGCGCUAUCAGAUGAGCCUAGGUCGGAUUAGCUAGUUGGUGAGGUAAUGGCUCACCAAGGCGACGAUCCGUAGCUGGUCUGAGAGGAUGAUCAGUCACACGGGAACUGAGACACGGUCCAGACUCCUACGGGAGGCAGCAGUGGGGAAUAUUGGACAAUGGGCGAAAGCCUGAUCCAGCCAUGCCGCGUGUGUGAAGAAGGUCUUCGGAUUGUAAAGCACUUUAAGUUGGGAGGAAGGGCAGUAAGCGAAUACCUUGCUGUUUUGACGUUACCGACAGAAUAAGCACCGGCUAACUCUGUGCCAGCCGCCGCAGUAAAAC
rnacentral:rRNA from 1 species